GCAUGCGCUGUGUGCUUUGGGGUCCCCUCAAGUGUCAGAGCUCACUAUUUGGCAAAGAGCUACUCCUGUCGCAGUGCCAUUUAAACAGCCGGCGGAGGAGAUGGAGGGAGGUGGGGGGGGGGGGGGCUGGCCCGUGCGGGUCUCCCGCUUCCCCGUCGUGCGGCAAGGCCGCCGCAGAAACAGAGGAGCUGCCCCACACACACCUCACGGAGGCAAGCAGUGGGGGGAACGGCGACACGACCUUCCCCCUAUCCCUGGGCUGGUUCCUGAGCUGCUUCAGUGUGUGGGUCACCAGUGCUUGUAAAGAACAGCUCCCCCCACUGUGUACGAUGAGAAUUUCUUGCCAAGUUUGAGGAUGAUUGAUAAAAAAUGCUGCUUCUCAUAGCACAAUUGAUCUUGUACACCAGGCUGCCACAUUUCUCAACUACUGACUCGGAGAGUAUUGCCUGUUUUAUUGCUAACAUUUUCUGCAGUGUCCUGGGUUUUCCUGGCAAGUAUCUCAUCCAAGUCAUGACCAAUUCUUGGACCCUGCUUCAUUCCUUCAUUUCACAAACUGCUGCCCAUGGUGACAAAACAGCAGGUAAUUCUGCAUUGUAAUGAAGAAAUGCCAUAAAGCUGCCUCUUGGGAAGUACAGAAUUGGUAUUAGUGUUCCUACUCUGGCUACACAUUGCUCCUAGAAACUAAUUUUCAUACCCUAUCUAUUAGCCUGGAUUUUAUAUUCCCAAUAUAAACUAUGGAUUUUUACUGAUGUAUUUAUCCUCUUAUAGUUGAAGUACAAAAGGAAAUUACAGCACCAGUUUUAGAGAAAACAAAGAGAUUCCCCUCUCCCCUCCCUUAUAGCUCUUAAACUGCAGGGUCUUCAUGCAAGGGUUUUCUAGAUAGAACAAACAGAAAUGUCUCCUUUAAUUCAACACUGGCUGUGUGUCACUUAGCAGUAGGGAGGUCAACCUCUGUUACAGUUUAUGACGUUCUCCUGAUCAAAAUUCUCUUGUUCCCAGGAAGUGGAAAAUUAAAUUGGGUAUCUGUGAAAAUGAAGAUUGAAUUUUACCUCUCCUCCAUAUGAAAAAGUUAUUUAAGGUCAAUUUUGCCCUCCUCGGUGGCAGAUAGAAGUGAAAUACUGUAAUUUCCUCUUCACAAAUCCAACCACCUUCUGUCUUUGAUACAAUUCUGUAAUAAAACUACUGGACAAUUGCUA